rnacentral:lncRNA from 1 species
UAUCAAGAGAUCAAACCAUCCCUCUUGUGUUCCACUUCAUUCCACAAGCCUUGGAAAGUUUGAGUGUUUGAUUCACUUUUGCAAGGAUCGUCCAUGUUCUAUCAUUCCUAUCCUAGGAUCUUAUUAGAUUUUUAAAAAAACCAUUAUAUCUCAAUCCUAUAUAUUGUAAACUCUCUCAUUAAUAAAAUAUUAGACAGUUCUAAACAAUUAUACUCUUGAUACAUUUCACAAUGAUUCUCCAUUAGUCUCUUAAUCUCACAACUCUUUCUUAUUCUCUCUUAAUCUUUUCUCUAUUCUCUUCUAAACUCUGAUUAUCCUAUUCAA